GAACGAACGCUGGCGGCAUGCCUAACACAUGCAAGUCGAACGAGAAAGUACCUUCGGGUGCGAGUAGAGUGGCGCACGGGUGAGUAACACGUAGGUGACCUACCGAUUAGUGGGGGAUAACCCGAAGAAAUUCGGGCUAAUACCGCAUAAGCAAGACAAAUUUGAAAGUAGUCUUGGAAAGAAUGCCUCUGCAUAUGCAUUUGCUGAUUGAUGGGCCUGCGGGACAUUAGUUUGAUGGUGGGGUAACGGCCUACCUUGACUUCGAUGUCUAGCGGAUCUGAGAGGAUGAUCCGCCACACUGGAACUGAGACACGGUCCAGACUCCUACGGGAGGCAGCAGUGGGGAAUAUUGCGCAAUGGGGGAAACCCUGACGCAGCAACGCCGCGUGAGUGAGGAAGGCUUUCGGGUUGUAAAACUCUGUCAAUGUUGAAAAACGGUGUUUGGUCUAAUAGGCCUUGCAUUUGAUGGUAAACAUAAAGGAAGCACCGGCUAACUUCGUGCCAGCAGCCGCGGUAAUACGAAGGGUGCAAGCGUUGUUCGGAUUUAUUGGGCGUAAAGCGCGCGCAGGCGGAUUUGUAAGUCAGAUGUGAAAUCUCGGGGCUCAACCCCGAAACUGCGUCUGAAACUACUAAUCUAGAAUCUUGGAGAGGGAAGGAGAAUUUCGCAUGUAGGGGUAAAAUCCGUAGAGAUGCGAAGGAAUAUCAGAGGCGAAGGCGCCUUCCUGGACAAGUAUUGACGCUGAGGCGCGAAAGCAUGGGGAGCAAACAGGAUUAGAUACCCUGGUAGUCCAUGCCGUAAACGAUGUGCACUAGGUUUGGGAUUGUUGACCGAUUCCGAGCCAAAGCUAACGCAUUAAGUGCACCGCCUGGGGAGUACGGUCGCAAGACUAAAACUCAAAGGAAUUGACGGGGGCCCGCACAAGCGGUGGAUUAUGUGGUUUAAUUCGAAGCAACGCGCAGAACCUUACCUAGGCUUGAACUCCUACGAACCUGUUAGAGAUAGCGGAGUGCCCUUCGGGGAAUGUAGUGACAGGUGCUGCAUGGCUGUCGUCAGCUCGUGUUGUGAAAUGUUGGGUUAAGUCUCGCAACGAGCGCAACCCCUAUUGUUAGUUGCCAGCAUUAAGUUGGGCACUCUAAUGAGACUGCCUGGGUUAACCAGGAGGAAGGUGGGGAUGACGUCAAGUCCUCAUGGCCCUUAUGCCUAGGGCUACACACGUAAUACAAUGGUCGGUACAGAGGGAUGCGAUACUGUGAAGUUAAGCAAAUCUCAAAAAGCCGAUCUCAGUCCGGAUUGAAGUCUGCAACUCGACUUCAUGAAGUUGGAAUCGCUAGUAAUCGCGGAUCAGCAUGCCGCGGUGAAUACGUUCCCGGGCCUUGUACACACCGCCCGUCAAG
rnacentral:rRNA from 1 species